rnacentral:rRNA from 1 species
CAGUCGCCACGGUAAUACGUAGGGUGCAAGCGUUGUCCGGAAUCAUUGGGCGUAAAGCGCGCGUAGGUGGCCAUUUAAGUCCGCUGUGAAAGUCAAAGGCUCAACCUUUGAAAGCCGGUGGAUACUGGAUGGCUAGAGUACGGAAGAGGCGAGUGGAAUUCCUGGUGUAGCGGUGGAAUGCGCAGAUACCAGGAGGAACACCAAUAGCGAAGGCAGCUCGCUGGGACGUUACUGACACUGAGGCGCGAGAGCGUGGGGAGCGAACAGGAUUAGAUACCCCGGUAGUCCCUGUCUCUUAUAC